rnacentral:rRNA from 1 species
GUUUAACGGCCGCGGUAUAAUAACCGUGCAAAGGUAGCGUAAUCACUUGUCUUUUAAAUAAAGACCAGUAUGAAAGGCUAAUUGAGGGUCCGACUGUCUCCUACGGCCAAUCAAUGAAACUGAUCUCCCAGUCCAAAAGCUGAGAUAAUUUCACAAGACGAGAAGACCCUGUGGAACUUUAAACCACAUGUUACUUUUCUCCCACAAAAAUCCACGGAUGUAACCACACAGCAUAUAACACACGGUUUUUAGUUGGGGCAACUAUGGAGAAAAACAAAACCUCCACGAAAAAGGCUACACCCCUACACAAGGCAUACACGCCUAAUGCCCACAAAACACUGACCCAGUACCACUGACAAUCGAACCAAGCUACCCCAGGGAUAACAGCGCCAUCCCCCUCAAGAGCUCCUAUCGACAGGGGGGCUUACGACCUCGAUGUUGGAUCAGGACACCCAAGUGGUGAAGCCGCUACUAAAGGUUCGUUUGUUCAACGAUUAAAGUCCUA